rnacentral:tRNA from 1 species
CGGGUAGCCAAGUGGUUAGGCACCGGUUUGCAAAACCGAUUACACGGGUUCGAUUCCCGUCCC